GUGCUCGCUUUGUCAGCACAUAGACUAAAAUUGGAAUGAUACAGAGAAUAUUAGCAUAGUCCCCACGCAAGGAUGACACACGAAUUCAUGAAGCAUUCUUUUUUUUG